CCUACGGGUGGCAGCAGUGAGGAAUAUUGGUCAAUGGGCGCGAGCCUGAACCAGCCAAGUAGCGUGAAGGAUGACUGCCCUACGGGUUGUAAACUUCUUUUAUAAAGGAAUAAAGUGAGGCACGUGAGCCUUUUUGGAUGUACUUUAUGAUUUAGGAUCGGCUAACUCCGGUCCAGCAGCCGCGGUAAUACGGAGGAACCGAGGGUUAUCCGGAUAUCGUGGGUGUAAAGGUAGAGUAGAUGGGUUGUUAAGUCAGUGGUGAAAGUUUGCGGCUCAACCGUAAAAUUGCAAUUGAUACUGGCAGCCUUGAGUACAGUUGAGGUAGGCGGAAUUCGUGGUGUAGCGGUGAAAUGCUUAGAUAUCACGAAGAACUCCGAUUGCGAAGGCAGCUUACUAAACUGCCACUGACAUUGAUGCUCGAAAGUGUGGGUAUCAAACAGGAUUAGAUACCCCUGUAGUC
rnacentral:rRNA from 1 species